GCAGUGGCCUCAGCUGUGGUGCAUUGUAGUUGCAUUGCAUGUGUCACAGAGGUGUGCAAUGCCUCUGCAGUGCAGCCCAGAGGAGGCUCCUCCCAGCA
rnacentral:pre_miRNA from 1 species